GACGAACGCUGGCGGCGUGCUUAACACAUGCAAGUCGAGCGGACGGGCCCUGCUUUUGUGGGGUGCUCGAGUGGCGAGCGCGUGAGUAACACGUGAGUAACCUGCCCUUGACUUUGUGAUAUCUUCACGGAACUGGGUCUCAUACCGGAUAUGAGCUCCUGCUGCGUGGUGGGGGUUGGAAAGUUUCGGCGGUAGUGGCUGGUCUCGAGGCUUAUCAGCUUGUUGGUGAGGUAGGUGCUUACCAAGGCUUUGACGGGUAGCCGGCCUGAGAGCGUGACCGGGCACAAUGGGACUGCGAUACGGCGCAGACUCCUACCGGAGGCAGCAGGCGGGAAUAUGGCACAAUGGGGGGAAGCGUGAUGCAGCAACGUUCCGUGCGGGAUGACGUGCUAUGGGUUGUAAACCGCUUUCGCCGGUGACGAAGCGUGAUUGACGGUAAUGGGUAAAGAAGCACCGGCUAACUACGUG
rnacentral:rRNA from 1 species